UUAUUUAUUAAUUGCAUCAAGGUUUCUUUUGUUAAUUGAUGUGUUUCUUCCGAAUUCAAAUUCAUAUGCCACCAAAUGUCAUUGUAAAGUUCAUUGUUGCAGAAUAUUGUUCCAGGAUGGUUUUUCUCUCCAGUAGGAAAUCUAUAUUCCUCUUCUUCUGAUCCUUCCUAUUAACCACUUUUUCUGAGUUGUAGUUAACAAUCUGUGUCUUGUACUGUGAGGUGCUCUGAUAGUCAAUCUGGUUUUGUCAGUACCAUGCUGCAUCUUGAAAAACAGCUGGGUGUUGGCAGUUAUCAGCCUAAUUUCUUUUUCCGGUCAUCUUCUGUCUGGAUAAUAGCAAUGUCCAGAAUUAGCAUAGCACUUCUUUUCAGCAUAAGAAGG